rnacentral:rRNA from 1 species
AAAUUGAAGAGUUUGAUCAUGGCUCAGAUUGAACGCUGGCGGCCGGCCUAACACAUGCAAGUCGAACGGUAACAGGAAGCAGCUUGCUGCUUCGCUGACGAGUGGCGGACGGGUGAGUAAUGUCUGGGAAACUGCCUGAUGGAGGGGGAUAACUACUGGAAACGGUGGCUAAUACCGCAUAACGUCGCAAGACCAAAGAGGGGGACCUUCGGGCCUCGUGCCAUCAGAUGUGCCCAGAUGGGAUUAGCUAGUUGGUUAGGUAACGGCUCACCAAGGCGAC